CCCUUAGAUGUUCUGGGCCGCACGCGCGCUACACUGUUCGACGCAGCGAGUCUUAACCUUGACCGAAAGGUUUGGGUAAUCUUCAGCAAAGUCGAACGUGAUGGGGACCGAUCAUUGCAAUUAUUGAUCGUGAACGAGGAAUUCCUAGUAAGUGCAAGUCAUCAGCUUGCGCUGAUUACGUCCCUGCCCUUUGUACACACCGCCCGUCGCUACUACCGAUUGAAUGGUUUAGUGAGAUCUCUGGAUUGACGCUGGCUAGGGGGCGACCCUUGGCCAGACUGUUGAGAAACUGCUCAAACUUGAUCAUUUAGAGGAAGUAAAAGUCGUAACA
rnacentral:rRNA from 1 species